rnacentral:rRNA from 1 species
GAUGAACGCUGGCGGCGUGCCUAAUACAUGCAAGUCGAGCGAACAGACGAGGAGCUUGCUCCUCUGACGUUAGCGGCGGACGGGUGAGUAACACGUGGAUAACCUACCUAUAAGACUGGGAUAACUUCGGGAAACCGGAGCUAAUACCGGAUAAUAUAUUGAACCGCAUGGUUCAAUAGUGAAAGACGGUUUUGCUGUCACUUAUAGAUGGAUCCGCGCCGCAUUAGCUAGUUGGUAAGGUAACGGCUUACCAAGGCAACGAUGCGUAGCCGACCUGAGAGGGUGAUCGGCCACACUGGAACUGAGACACGGUCCAGACUCCUACGGGAGGCAGCAGUAGGGAAUCUUCCGCAAUGGGCGAAAGCCUGACGGCGCAACGCCGCGUGAGUGAUGAAGGUCUUCGGAUCGUAAAACUCUGUUAUUAGGGAAGAACAAAUGUGUAAGUAACUAUGCACGUCUUGACGGUACCUAAUCAGAAAGCCACGGCUAACUACGU